GUAUAAGGCACCUGCAUUGGCAGAUGGACAGAAAAGGAAAGAAGAUACUUUAAAUGAAUGGUACAUGUGGUUUUUUGGAAUACUGGAGGCCUACUGAGAUGAUUGCCAAAACUGCCAGCUGACAGGGAGCUAUGCAGGCUGCUAUGAGGACAUUUCAGCACCCAUUCCUUGUCUCUGCUGGGAGCACGUGAAGUGGUGUUGUGGUCGUGAAUCUGGAGGCCACUGAGACAUCUGCUGGCCCCUCUUCUGAUGCUGGGAGACCCCAGCCCCUGCUCAGAUUUAGCUCCAGUGUGCUUCAAAUCAAUGUGCAAGUGAACAUGGGAAGCAGUGGUUAAUUUUAGUUGGCACAACUGAUGCUGCAGGGAUGCAAGAGUCAUCUUUGGUGUUUCUUGUUAGUCAAAACACUCACAAAGACUGACAUGAAUAGGAAAGUGUAAAUAAAUGAAAUUACAGUACUGUGAAUUAGUUUCUAAAGAUUUUUGGAUACCCUAGACUCAGUUAACCGAAGAGUCUUGCUCCUGGCAGAGCUCAGGCUUCAUCUGCUAUUUCUGUUCGGACUGUCAGUGUAAUGUUAUUUCCGUGUCAGUAUUUUACAAGACAAGGUAUCAAAGCCUCACUUUGAGAUGAAAUUCUAAUUAUUCUUGCCCAUUUAGAAGAUAUAAAGUCAGGAAAACUCACCAGUAAU